AUUUAUAUAGUUUAAAAAAACAUUACAUUUUCAUUGUAAAAUUAGAAAUUCUCUUAUAAAUA
rnacentral:tRNA from 1 species